UCUCCGUUGCCGGAGCAGUCCCCAAAGACACUUGUAACUUUGAGUAAGGGUUGCGCUCGUUAUCCCACUUAAGGGAACACUUCACAGCACGAGCUGACAACAGCCAUGCAACACCUGUCAUCCCGUUCCCCUUGCGGGGCACGAUCCUAUUUCUAGGAUCUUCGGGAGAUGUCAAGUCCUGGUAAGGUUCUACGUGUACCGUCGAAUUGAACCACAUGUUCCACCGCUUGUGCGGUCCCCCGCCUAUUCCUUUGAGUUUUAAUCUUGCGAUCGUACUUCCCAGGCGGCUCGCUUAACGUGUUAGCUUCGCUUCCCAAAGGGUCGAUACUUCAAAAAGCUAGCGAGCAUCGUUUACGGCGUGGACUA
rnacentral:misc_RNA from 1 species